GGAGUUGUGGCUCAAUAUUAGAGCACUUGUCUAACAUGCAUGAGGCACUGGAUUCAAUCCCAGCACCA
rnacentral:tRNA from 1 species